ensembl:snoRNA LOC120102676 small nucleolar RNA SNORA17
CCUGCCCCAUAGGUACUGUGGGUGCGGCUGCCAUGUUUCAUGUGCAUCAAGGGGUGGCAGAGGGGAGGGAAGCUGUGUCUAUGCUCAGUGUGUUGGCCCAUGAAUAUCUGAAUGAUGGGUAACCUAACAUU